GUUCCCAUUACUGGAAACAGAACUUCAGAAAAAUCUAUGCCAUCUCUGAACAAGACUUUGUGGAGUUCCAGAAUGGAAGAAGAGCUAAAGUAAGGUAAUACAACAUUUUGAGCUUGAAAUCAUAGAGCCUGUGAACAAAAUGGUCCAAAUUUAGGCUCCAUUGUGUGCUAGUGACUUUGAAUGUUUUUUUCAAAUAUCAGUUCUUAUGCAUUAUUAUUAUUUGUACUACAUUUGAUAGUCUGCUUUUUUGUUGUUGUUGUUGUCUUGACCAUCCUUUCUUUACUGUCACUACAUUUUAAGUCGAGGGUCUGGGCCGAAUGAAGGAUGCCUUUACCUGUCUUGUUUGUAAAGCACACUUCCAGCUCUAUUCUAAAAGGGAAGAUGUUAGUCCUAAUGUCGUUUUUAAUUAUUCUCUUGACAUCAGACUAUAGCAAAGGUCAAAUAGAGAUGCAUGCUUUUAACCACAAGACAGUGGACUGCAAUGAGAGGACUGUCUUACAGUGCAACAUCAGCUCAUCAGAGCCAUUGAACAUUGUUAAAGUGUACUGGAAAAAACUAGAAGAGAAAGAUUUUGAAUGUGAUCCAGCAUCCAGCAACGACCCUCCAGGAUUUGAGUGCAAAUACACAGGGGAAGCAAUGACAUUAACCAUCUCAAAUCCCACACCAGCAAACAUGGGCACAUACUUUUGUUGUAUAAAGACAGACUCCGGACAUGACAAAAAACAAAUUUAUGUGUCUAUAGGACAAUGCACUGGAGAAUUCUCCAACCAGAUGGCUGGACACAAACAAGUGGAGUGUAGCUUCAAUGGUGUGUACCCAGAGGCCAAAAUAAACUGGUAUCAUUAUGACAUGAACCUGACUUCCAACUCUACAACCACAAGCCUGGAGAACACUGAUGGAACGUUCAACAUCACAAGUGUCCUCAACAUCCAGGACAAUCACAAGAGAUAUAACUGCUCACUGUGGUCACUCAAAUAUGGACGACACAGUGAUCAAGAGUUUGAAGUGGGAGAUCAAGCUGAGUUCAGUCCUGUUAGCAGGAUCAGCACACAACAUUUUUUAUCAUGGACUCUUGUUUUCAUUGAGAGCCUGUUUGUCUUCAUAAUCUUCACAUAAUGACUCAACCCAACUAUCCCAAGACCUGACGACAAAAUCAAAGAUCUGGGGGAGUUUCAUAAAUUGAAUUUGCCAGAUAAGCUGAUCAUCUAUUCAAUAUUUGACCCACAACUUCAUGACUUGUAUUAUUUAAGAAAACGCUCAUAUUAAAAACCCAAACUAUUUCAUACAGCAUUUUGAAAAUGCAUUUAUUCACAUUCUUUAUGCAAAAUAAUGUAUGAUCUCAAAUUAAUUGAAAGACUACACUGAAUAUACUGUAAAAAAUGUGAAAAGCUUUGUCAUUUUAGUGUCAUUGAGAUACAUGUAUAGUUUUUAUAAAAUAGUUUUUAUUUUUACAUUUUGCAAUUUCGUUUUAAUUUUUGUUCAAGUCUGUUUAACGUCAAUUUGUUUUUGUCAUUUUAUUGUUUUUAAUGUCUAUAUAGUUUUUUUUUUAUUAUUAUUUUAGUUUCAGUUAUUUUGAUACGUCAAUAAAUGAAAAUGAGAAAUGUUUCCUUUCCUCUGU
ensembl:lncRNA